UAACCAACUGUUCCUAGGCCGUCAUUGAAAAUAAGAAUUUGUUCUGAACUGACUUGCCUAGUUAAAUAAAGGUUGAAAUUUUACAUGAUGCACAGCAAGGUUUGUUAGAACAGGGGCCUGUUGCACAAAAGUAGAAUUAAGACAUCCGGGAUAAAUGACUCAGCUGAGCUCAAUGAAGCCAAAACAUGUGCGUCCAGGCUUAAUUGGUUGCACAAAGACCAAGCCAGGAUGAGCAGACACGGAUUCAUUAAGCCAGGUGAAACCAAUCCUGGAUAGGUGCGCGCUCACGGCUCACUCAAAUAGACCCCGCCACAGAUCACAGAUUAACUGAUUUACCAUGGCAACUAGAGCCGCGUACUUUUCCCCGUCGGAAGCACAAAUCCUCAUGGAGGCAUACGAGGAGGUAAAAGAUAUAAUUAAGAAGAAAGGCAACACCGCCACAGUGAUAAAGCAAAGAGAAAAAGCGUGGCAAAGUAUUGCAGACCGCCUGAAUGCGUAAGUAGUGCACAAUUACACACUCACCGCUCCGCUGAAACAUCACAAUUACAAUUCAAAUAUUUAAUUCACAUCUCCAAAAAUGCAGUUGUACUGUAAUUAUGAAACGGUUCAAUUUUUAAUUGAAAUGCACUGCAGAUAUGAGUGAAAUUGUGUAAAGUAACUCCAUCACACUGUAUAAAGCUAUGAUAAAUUUUUUGAUAUUUUUACUGAAAACAAGACAAAAAUACCAAGUAAUUUUUUGCAGUGUGACUCCAUUAAAUGUGUGUGUGUGGUGUGUGUGUGUGUGUGUGUGUGUGUGUAGAUUAAACAUGAACGGGCCAAAACGGACAUGGCAGCAGGUCAAAAUCAAAUACAAGAACAUUCUGCAGAAUGCAGUGAAAAAGAAUACCCACAGACAAGGCACGGGUGGUGGGUCACCAAAGGCUGACCUUACCCCAGCAGAGGACAUGGCCUUGGAGCUAAAUAAAGGCAGGCCCGUCUUAGAGGGGAUCCCUGGGGGAAAGAGACGAGCAUAGGUUCCUCCCAAGAUGCCACCCGCUUCAUUCAAGUGCCUGGCAGCACUGUGUUCCUGUUAGAGCCACCAGCACAAGCACCAGACGAUGCUGAUCCAGGUGAAGGCCCCAGUGCAGCAGCAACAGCACAUGAUGGAGACGAUGAUGAGGAGGAGACCAUCUCUCUGGAUUCCAGAAGGCAUGAGGACCCAGAUGCUAUACAGUGGGAAAACCAGCCUGGCAACAUAAGCUCACAAGCUAUCAGAAAGUUGUAUGGCAACCACCUCCGGCGCCAAAUAGAACUGGCAGACAUAGACAUUCAGUACAAGAAGAAAAAGAUGGAAAAUCUUGCACUGGAGUCCGAAAUAAAAAAGAGGACAAUUAGGAAACUGGACCUUGAAAUAAAAAAACUUGAGAGGGAGCUCCAAGAAGAUGACACAGCUCAAAAUAAAAAUUAGCAAUCAGUACAACCAAGUCAUCGUUAUAAGGCAUCGCCCUCUUUUGCCCACCCCCAGCACCAGGUGUGGCCACUAGCCUAUAUGAAGGCCCAAAAUUGUGUGUUCCUUUCUGCUCUGACAAUGGCAUGCCCAUUCGUGCGAGAUGUGGUGGAUGAAGAAGCACUUGUGCUGAGGAGAGCCUUCAGGCGAGAAAGGGUCUUCAGGGACCGGUUGGACCCACUGGCCUUCCCUGAUGACCAUCUAUAUGAAAGAUACAGGUUUUCUGCAGAUGGCAUCAGGUAUCUAUGCAGACUACUGGGUCCCAGGAUUAAGCACCGCACUGCACGGAGCCAUGCACUGAGUGUGGAGCAAAUGGUUUGUGUGGCCUUGCGCUUUUUUGCUAGUGGAGCCUUCCUGUACUCAGUGGGGGAUGCAGAACAGCUGAACAAGGCCACAAUUUGCCGCACAAUAAGGAGUGUGUGUCUGGCUAUCAAAGCAUUAGCAGAUGUCUUCAUCUCCUUCCCUGGCCACAGAAGACUCUGUGACAUCAAAGAGGAGUUCUAUAGGAUUGCAGAUGGUCUGCAAUGCUGACUGUGUGAUCAGCAAUGUUGUGGCAAAAUGGCCUGGCUCAGUCCAUGACUCCAGAAUCUUUCGGGCCUCUGAAAUCUAUCAGUGCCUAUCACAAGGUGAAUUCUCUGGUGUGUUGCUGGGAGACAGGGGUAUGGCUGCCAGCCUUUUCUCCUGACACCUUUCACAGACCCCCAGGAAGCACAGCAGGCCUACAACCAUGCCCAUGCCAGGACCAGGGCCAGAGUUGAAAUGACCUUUGGCCUCCUGAAGGCACGCUUUCACUGCCUUCACAAAUUAAGGGUCAGCCCUGUUAGGGCAUGUGAUAUUACUGUGGCUUGUGCUGUCCUCCACAAUGUGGCCUGCCUGAGGAAGGAGAGGGCCCCCAGAGUGCCACCAGCCAUGGACUGGGACAAUCCGGCAAUCUUCCCUGAUGACGACAGUGGUCGGCUGCUGAGGGACCAAUAUGUGUUGAAUUAUUUUAGUUAGUAUGUGUGCUUUCAAUUUUGGUUAAAUAUGUCCUGCGGUGGCAGAGGAAUUUGGGUUUUUUUGGGUUCGUUUUUGACGAAUUUGGCCUCUUAUGAUGUUUGUGCGGUAUACUGUGUGUAAUACAAGGCUGCAGGGAGGCUACUGCAUCCAUUCAUUUGUCUGUUCAGUUGAUGUGUAUGGAUUUGUCCUGCAUUUAUUUUAGUGUGCAGACAUGCAGGGUGUGUUAUAUACAGACCUUUGAAUGUGUAUGUAUCAUUUUGUAUAAUAUGCUUGGAUUCUGUGCUUUCCAUCUUGUAGAGUCACUGUGACUUCAGUUUCGAAAGGAGCUGAUGGUUUACCUGCUUUGUUUUGUCCUUAUUCAAUAAAGGAACAUAAUGUUA